rnacentral:lncRNA from 10 species
GUGUGCACCCCGGUCACAACAGUGAUGCUCAAGGGCUCUCCAAAGGAGGCAGGCUUGUGUGGACCCCAGAGGGACUCCUGAUCAGGUUAGAAGGACGUGGAAAGAAUACUACCUGCAAGCCGACGAGAGAGGCCUGGAGCAGAUCCUUCCUUCACGGCACUCGGAAGAUGCCAAGCCUGCCAUCUUGAUUUUAGACUUCCAGCCUCCAGAACUGAGAGACAACACGUUGUUUCUGUUGUUUGAGCCACACAGUUGGUAGAACUGUUAAAGUAGCUCCAGGAAACUAAUUCAGUGACUAAUGUUUUUGAACAGUCUUUGUGCAUUUUAAAUAAACAUAUUUAAUAUAU